rnacentral:lncRNA from 1 species
CCUCUGUCUCUGUCCACCACCCCCCACCCAAAAAAGAGAAGAAGAAUGUUAUUUUGUGGAGAUGGAGGAAAUUGGGAGAAGUCGUUUUGAAUGGAAGUCCAUUGGAGAAAUGGAGUUCAGGAUGAGGGAGAGAGGGGUUGAGGAGGUACAGAGGAGGGGAGAGAAAAUCUUACGCAGUCUCCAUGCCCAGCACAGAGCCCGACACAUCUCACAACCCUGAGAUCAUGACCUCUACUGAAAUCAAGAGUUGGAUGCUUAACUGACGGAGCCAGCCAGGUGACCCUAGUACAUGAUCCUUU